rnacentral:rRNA from 1 species
GAUGAACGCUGGCGGCGUGCCUAAUACAUGCAAGUCGAGCGAACGGACGAGAAGCUUUCUUCUCUGAUGUUAGCGGCGGACGGGUGAGUAACACGUGGAUAACCUACCUAUAAGACUGGGAUAACUUCGGGAAACCGGAGCUACUACCGGAUAAUAUUUUGAACCGCAUGGUUCAAAAGUGAAACACGGUCUUGCUGUCACUUAUAGAUGGAUCCGCGCUGCAUUAGCUAGUUGGUAAGGUACCGGCUUCCCAAGGCCACGAUGAAUAGCCGACCUGAGAGGGGGAGCGGACACUGGAACUGAGACACGGUCCAGACUCCUACGGGAGGCAGCAGUAGGGAAUCUUACGCAAUGGGCGAAAGCCUGAUCGAGCAACGCCGCGUGAGUGAUGAAGGUCUUCGGAUCGUAAAACUCUGUUAUUAGGAAAGAACAUAUGUGUAAGUAACUGUGCACAUCUUGACGGUACCUAAAGAGAAAGCCACGGCUAACUACGUG